AGUGAACGCUGGCGGUAGGCCUAACACAUGCAAGUCGAACGGCAGCACAGAGGAGCUUGCUCCUUGGGUGGCGAGUGGCGGACGGGUGAGGAAUACAUCGGAAUCUACUCUGUCGUGGGGGAUAACGUAGGGAAACUUACGCUAAUACCGCAUACGACCUACGGGUGAAAGCAGGGGAUCUUCGGACCUUGCGCGAUUGAAUGAGCCGAGGUGGGAUUAGGUUGUUGGCGGGGUAAAGGCCCACCAAGGCGACGAUCCGUGGCUGGUCUGAGAGGAUGAUCAGCCACACUGGAACUGAGACACGGUCCAGACUCCUACGGGAGGCAGCAGUGGGGAAUAUUGGACAAUGGGCGCAAGCCUGAUCCAGCCAUACCGCGUGGGUGAAGAAGGCCUUCGGGUUGUAAAGCCCUUUUGUUGGGAAAGAAAUCCAUCUGGUUAAUACCCGGGUGGGAUGACGGUACCCAAAGAAUAAGCACCGGCUAACUUCGUGCCAGCCGCCGCAGUAA
rnacentral:rRNA from 1 species